rnacentral:rRNA from 1 species
AUUGAACGCUGGCGGCAGGCCUAACACAUGCAAGUCGAGCGGCUGAAGGGAGCUUGCUCCUGGAUCCAGCGGCGGACGGGUGAGUAAUGCCUAGGAAUCUGCCUGGUAGUGGGGGAUAACGCCCGGAAACGGGCGCUAAUACCGCAUACGUCCUGAGGGAGAAAGUGGGGGAUCUUCGGACCUCACGCUAUCAGAGGGGCCGAGGUCGGAUUAGCUAGUUGGUGGGGUAAAGGCCUACCAAGGCGACGAUCCGUAACUGGUCUGAGAGGACGAUCAGUCACACUGGAACUGAGACACGGUCCAGACUCCUACGGGAGGCAGCAGUGGGGAAUAUUGGACAAUGGGCGAAAGCCUGAUCCAGCCAUGCCGCGUGUGUGAUGAAGGUCUUCGGAUUGUAAAGCACUUUAAGUGGGAAGGAAGAGCAGUGAGUUAAUACCUCGCUGUGUUGACGUUACCAACAGAAUAAGCACCGGCUAACUUCGUG